rnacentral:rRNA from 1 species
ACUCCUACGGGAGGCAGCAGUGAGGAAUAUUGGUCAAUGGGCGGAAGCCUGAACCAGCCAUGCCGCGUGCGGGAAGAAGGCGCUACGCGUCGUAAACCGCUUUUGUCCGGGGGUAACCGCGGGGACGUGUCCCCGCCUGCAAGUACCGGACGAAUAAGGGUCGGCUAACUCCGUGCCAGCAGCCGCGGUAAUACGGAGGACCCGAGCGUUAUCCGGAUUCAUUGGGUUUAAAGGGUGCGUAGGCGGCCCGGUAAGUCAGCGGUGAAAGGCUCCUGCUCCACAGGAGAGCUGCCGUUGAUACUGCUGGGCUAGAAUCUUAGCGAGGCGGGCGGAAUGCGCGGUGUAGCGGUGAAAUGCAUAGAUAUCGCGCAGAACGCCGAUUGGGGAGCCAGCUCGCCAGCUGAGUAUUGACGCUGAGGCACGAAAGCGUGGGGAUCGAACAGGAUUAGAUACCCUGGUAGUC